rnacentral:lncRNA from 1 species
GGUUGCGUCUCGUUCAUUUUUCAACCCCUACGUACGGGCUUACGGUGAAGAAUGAGCAUUUCACCAGCGGAAAAGGGGUGAGGAGGAGGAGGAGGCCAGCUUGCAACGUACGUCUUUAUAAGUAACCCCUCCGUCUCGUUCCUUUCUUCCACCCCGGCCGGCCUCUUCCAGCUCAACCACGAAAGCUAAGCUAGCCAUGAUUCCAUGCGACGUGAGCUUUCUCGAGGGCUUUGUGUUCGGCGUGGUGGCCAUCCCGGCGAUGCUGGGCAUCGCGCGGAUCCUCGACCUCAUCGACCACUUCAUCGCGGACAAGAUCCGGGCUUGCAUGGGCGGCGACCUGGAGCAAGAAGCGGAAGGCGCAGGCGGCGCCGCGGUCUGAGGUCAGGAUCGGCCGGGUCCAGAGCCUUCCCUGGCGGGAGGUGUGCGAGCUAAGUAUCUAGGGUUGCGAUGCGUGUAUCUGGUCAUUCGAUCAGUGCUUAAUUAGCAGCAGGCAUGGCAUAUAUUGGUACGGUAUGUUAUGUAUGCUUUAGCAGCAGGCAUUGCAUGGUCUCUGCGACUACUACGUACUCGAUCUAGAGUUUCUCUAGCAUGUGUUGUUCACUGCAUGCACGUACACAUAUGUAUUAUGUUUGUAAUAAUCGGUCUCCGGCUCCGGCCGAUGUGUUUAUUUCUCGGUCGAUCUUCUUAACUUGGCGGUAAAUAGCAAGCAGGAGCUGUUUUACAGUUGCGCGUUGCUGCUGCUGCUGCAUUGUCAGUCUCUUCUGUAUAUACGUAGUGGACAUAUCACCUCACCGUCCAUCUCCCGCGCGCAAUCGCGCAUGUACUCGGAGUGUGGUUAUGUGACUCAUGUAGAUGCAAGGAUGGAGAGCUAGCUUAGCUUUUUUCUCUUCUUCUUUUUUUUCAGGGAAGAGAGCUUAGCUUAGCUAGGUGUACGUACUUGGGCGCAAAGGCAAAGGCUUGCCCAACCAUGCAAUGCAAUUGCAUGGAUGCUAGCUAGCUACCACCGUCGAGCGACCUGUGACUGUCACCGGAGUCCGGAUAUUGCCGCACUCCACCCAUGUGCACAAGGCCACCAAAUUCUUUGCACCAAUUUGGUCGAUCAGAGCCAGCCUUUGCCAUGAACGAUUCAGAUCUACACAACUGAUGGGGUCGCUCGCUUCUUCGAUCCAUGCAUGCUAAUAUCGGUCUGGCAGCGAACAAACCUUUCAACUUUGCCACUCUUACUACGUGUCGUUGUACGUGCGCUUGGAUGAUGUGCAUGGUUCGACUAUUAUUUUGCGACAAACAUGUGAUGAAGUCCAACUGUUACAAUGAUUGCUUCAGUUCCAUCCCGCGAAAAAUUGAAUACUUCAGUUCAGAUGUAAUCUGUGGUGACCUUCAUCCUCACGUAACAAUAGGAGUUACCGAAGCAGAAGUGCUGAAAAGUAUCAAACAGAUAUGGGACCGGUACCAAAAACAUGAGACCAAUACCUAUCUUUUUAAUUGUUUCUUGUGUGCGUGUGUGUUAUAAUUAAGAAACAUCAUAUAUAAUUCUGUUCCCGAUCAAAAAUCGGUGCACAAANN